AUCUUUUCUAGCAAAGCAAAAUCAGUAGCAGGAAGCAUGCCUUAAACAGAGAGCAGAAAGAUAGAAGUCUGUGAUUCUCCUUGAUGCAAUUUCUGCCAUUUGAUCUUGGACUGGUCCUUGAGAAACUGGCUGUCUUCUCAACAGGAUGAAGCAGCUCACAAGAACAGCAGGACCAAGGGAAGCCAAGAAUACAGCACCCAGAAUACUCUCCAGAGAGAAGAGAAACUUGUUCUCAGGU
rnacentral:lncRNA from 1 species